rnacentral:rRNA from 1 species
UACGUAGGUGGCAAGCGAUACUCGGAAUCACUAGGCGUAAAGCGCAGGUAGGCGGCUCGAUAAGUCUCUUGUGAAAGCUCCCGGCUCAACUGGGAGAGGUCAAGGGAAACGGCGAGACUAAGAGGAUGGAAGGGGUCUCUGGAACUCAUGGUGUAGCGGUGAAAUGCGUUGAUAUCAUGGGGAACACCAAAAGCGAAGGCAAGAGACUGGUCCACUCCUGACGCUGAAACACGAAAGCGUGGGUCGCGAAUGGG